rnacentral:lncRNA from 1 species
GGGGUGAGGGGUGAGGGCUGGGGGGUGGUGAUUCUGUCUUCAUAGGAUGGCAGCAAAGGCCAAAGUCUUAUUUGAGUUAUUACCAUUAUUAUUCACCACACUUGCCAUCUUAUUUCAAGCCUACAGUGGCGGAAGUGGAGUAAGACAUCAUGUUGCCUCAAGUUUAAUUGGAAAUCGCGUGCCUUGUGAAGAAUGGACACUCAGUAGAUGCUUAUUGAUGAACCUGUUGGUUGAGGAUAACUCGCUAACUUUUCUGAGCUUUGUUGGAAAAACUGUGAGUACCUAUGUUGGGUAGAAAUUGGAAGACAGCCCCUAGCAUUUUACAUCAUCCUUGGAGCUUUAUUUAUAGUCAUUAAAUGCAGAAGACUCCCCAGUUCAUGAAUUUAUUGUGCUCAACAGGACAA